rnacentral:rRNA from 1 species
AUUGAACGCUGGCGGCAGGCCUAACACAUGCAAGUCGAACGAGUGGCGGACGGGUGAGUAAUGUCUGGGAAACUGCCUGAUGGAGGGGGAUAACUACUGGAAACGGUAGCUAAUACCGCAAACCAUCAGAUGUGCCCAGAUGGGAUUCGCUAGUUGGUGGGGUAACGGCUCACCAAGGCGACGAUCCCUAGCUGGUCUGAGAGGAUGACCAUCCAAACUGGAAAUGAGACACGUUCCAGACUCCUACGGGAGGAAGCGUUGGGGAUGAUUGCACAAUGGGCGCAAGCCUGAUGCAGCCAUGCCGGGUGUAUGAAGAAGGCCUUGGGGUUGUAAAGUACUUUCAGCGGGGAGGCAUUACCCGCAGAAGAAGCACCGGCUAACUCCGUGCCAGCAGCCGCGGUAAUUC